UACGUAGGGUGCGAGCGUUGUCCGGAAUUAUUGGGCGUAAAGAGCUCGUAGGCGGUCUGUCGCGUCUGCUGUGAAAACUCAGGGCUUAACCCUGAGCUUGCAGUGGGUACGGAUAGACUAGAGUGCGGUAGGGGAGACUGGAAUUCCUGGUGUAGCGGUGAAAUGCGCAGAUAUCAGGAGGAACACCGGUGGCGAAGGCGGGUCUCUGGGCCGAUACUGACGCUGAGGAGCGAAAGCGUGGGGAGCGAACAGG
rnacentral:rRNA from 1 species